AUCCCCUGAAUUACUGCCACAAUCCUCUGAGCUGCUCUGACAGGGCAAUACCACUAUAUCUGAGAGAGACGGCACCUGAUAAAAACAAAACAUGCGACAGAUGUGGUCACUUUUGCAACAACAAGAACAACUAUUUGUCUCCAUUUAUGCAUCUUUUGUGUUGGCGGAGGUCGGCCCGGGCAGAGGGCAGAGUGCCAGCCUGCUCUGCUACACUGGCAGCUCCCUUUAGAGAAUGCAGCAAAGGAUUUAAUAUCUGAGGUGGAAUAACUACCAACACCAGGAGACCCUGAACACAACACGAACCUGUCACUGGUUUGUCAAAUCUGGAAAUGAUCUCGAGCUUCUCGGUCCAGUGGAGUUACCAUGGUGCUGCGCUCCUGUACGCUGUGUCCCCUAUGAGACAAUGCAGAAGACAGACGGAGGGUGAUAGCGUUACAUGUGGGAGCAGGCAGAGGAGAGGAGGAGCCGCUGCACCAGAGCUGCACACCGAUUGGACAGGGAAGUUUUUCGAAUGGACGUAUGCAAAAAUCCCCCUGAGUAUCCAACUCCACUGUUCAGGAUGCCAGUGGACAAAUGCUCACAUUCCCACAGUGUCCCCAUAGUGAGGUUACAAAGUGACCUCAUCAGGCUCUGUAGUACGCUAUAUUAUCAUUUUGUACACAAUAGUUUUAAUGUGAAAAUGGAGGAUAUAGUAGGAUCCCUCAGCCACCCCCAC